rnacentral:rRNA from 1 species
UACGUAGGGUGCAAGCGUUAUCCGGAAUCACUGGGCGUAAAGCGUGCGUAGGUGGAUGUUUAAGUGAGAUGUUAAAUCGUGUGGCUCAACCAUAUCGAUGCAUCUCAUACUGGGCAUCUAGAGGACAGCAGAGGCAAGUGGAAUUGGUAGUGUAGCAGUGAAAUGCGUAGAGAUCGGGAGGAACACCAGAGGCGAAGGCGGCGACCUGGACAGGCACUGACACUCAACUACGAAAGCGUGGGGAGCAAACAGG